rnacentral:rRNA from 1 species
ACGCCAGAAAUCUUACCCGGAGAGACAGUAGAAUGAAGGUCAAGCUGAAGACUUUACCAGACAAGCUGAGAGGUGGUGCAUGGCCGUCGCCAGCUCGUGCCGUGAGAUGUCCUGUUAAGUCAGGUAACGAGCGAGAUCCCUGCCUCUAGUUGCCACCAUUACUCCCAGGAGUAGUGGGGCGAAUUAGCGGGACCGCCGUAGUUAAUACGGAGGAAGGAAGGGGCCACGGCAGGUCAGUAUGCCCCGAAACUCUGGGGCCACACGCGGGCUGCAAUGGUAACGACAAUGUGUUCCGAAUCCGAAAGGAGGAGGUAAUCCAGAAACGUUACCACAGUUAUGACUGAGGGCUGCAACUCGCCCUCACGAAUAUGGAAUCCCUAGUAACUGCGUGUCAUUAUCGCGCGGUGAAUACGUCCCUGCUCCUUGCACACACCGCCCGUCGUUUCAUUGAAGUUUGCCUUAGGCGAGGUGACGUCUCAUUGGCGUUAUCGAACUUGA